CCUACGGGGGGCAGCAGUGGGGAAUAUUGGACAAUGGGGGCAACCCUGAUCCAGCCAUGCCGCGUGUGUGAAGAAGGCCCUCGGGUUGUAAAGCACUUUCAGUGAGGAAGAACGCCUGGUGGUUAAUACCCAUCAGGAAAGACAUCACUCACAGAAGAAGCACCGGCUAACUCCGUGCCAGCAGCCGCGGUAAUACGGAGGGUGCGAGCGUUAAUCGGAAUUACUGGGCGUAAAGCGCGCGUAGGUGGCUUGAUAAGCCGGUUGUGAAAGCCCCGGGCUCAACCUGGGAACGGCAUCCGGAACUGUCAAGCUAGAGUGCAGGAGAGGAAGGUAGAAUUCCCGGUGUAGCGGUGAAAUGCGUAGAGAUCGGGAGGAAUACCAGUGGCGAAGGCGGCCUUCUGGACUGACACUGACACUGAGGUGCGAAAGCGUGGGUAGCGAACAGGAUUAGAUACCCCGGUAGUC
rnacentral:rRNA from 1 species